AUGCCAGCCGGCGAAGUGCAGGGGGCUCCCCAGCGACCACUGCACCAGGAUGUGGCCCGUGCGGUUCUCAUACUGGCGGAAGUUGGGCAUGGUGUAGUACUGCCGGCGGCGCAGGCGGAUGCCGUCCAGCCCGUACACCGUCUGCAGCAUGUCCACCGUGCAGCCCGACACCACCUCCAGGCUGCCCGGCUGCUUCCAGAAGAAGCCAUACAGCGACUUGCGCAUGUGGAAGGCGAAGGGCUCCGUCCAGCCGUCGUAGAGCUUGAGGAAGAGCACGCCGUCGCGCGCGGGGAUCUCGUCGGCGUCGUCGAUGAUGAAGACGUCGUCCGGCCGCAGGUUGCGCAGCCGCGACACGCCGUCCUGCGUCAGGAAGGUGCGCAGGUAGUCGUCGGCGAUCCAGCCGUCCUGCCGCCCGCCCGGCGGGAAGUGGUCCAGGAAGACGUACAGCACCUUGUGCCGGAUGUACUCGAAGGUGCCGUUGGUCAGCAUCUCGCGGAACUUGAGCGGCCGCGGCUCCCCGUACGCGGUGAAGUUGGACUCGCACACCACGAAGGCGUCCACCACGUCGCCCAGCUCGUGGAAGCGCACGUCCAGCAGGUCGAACUCGUGGUUGAUGUUGAUGGCGUUGAUGACCCGCCGCGGCACCUCCCGGGGCACCAGGCGCUCCUUGGUGGGCAGGUUGGAGUACUGCACCACGGUGGGCACGCCGCAGCUCGGCCCGUGCCAGCCCGGGAGGCACACGCACUCCACCUGGGGACCUGAGCCAGCCCCAAAGGGUUCAGCUGCUAACCUUGAGGCCAUGUGCACUGUGAGGCUGCCAGGGCUGCCUAGAUGUGGCUCGACUGAGCCUCACGCUCAAGAUCAUCUCCUCUGACCUCUGUCCCACGUGGCUCUGCUUACACGCCUCCUAUGAUGUGCUGCUCCUGUCUCCCUUGACAGCUCUUUUCAGUGGGACAGCUUCAGCUACUAGAAAUCCUAGAUCCCACUGCCUGGAGUUGGUCCAAGCCUGUCAGCUUCUUCACUGGCACCACCAUCCUUCAGAAACUGGUUGGAGUCCUUGCACCACUUCUCCCAGGAUCUUUAGUGGCUCCUCCAAUGCAGGGUUGUCAGAACUUUCCAUCCCGGCCUUUCUCCCACUUGCCCCUGCCUUUCCCCAGACACGACCUGACUAGUACAGCCCGAGGGCCUCUCCCUCCCCUGACAGGCCAACCCUGAGCUCUGUGUGGCCUGUUUUUGCGGUCAGGUUUCUGGCCUCUCUUAUACACUUCCUGCUAGCUGCUACCUGCAGUUAAGUUUCCUCUUUUGUAAAAUAGGAAUAAGACUCAUAUGUCUGCAUAGGGUUGUUGUAAGGAUGGAAUGAGUUUAUACAUGUCAAAAUGCUUAGAAAAUGCAGCUAGUGCCAUUAUUCCUGUUUGCAGAUGGUUACUGUCCAGAAGGGCUUCCCUGUGACUCAGCAGUAGAGAAUCCACCUGCAAAGCAGGAGCCGCAAGAGUUGCGGUUUCGAUCCCUGGGUGGGGAAGAUCACCUGGAGGAGAGCAUAGCAACCCACUCCAGUAUUCUUGCCUGGAGAAUCCNNNNNNNNNNNNNNNNNNNNNNNNNNGUCUAUAGGGUCUCAAAGAGUCAGACAUGACUGAAGCGACUUAGCAUGCAUGUGGUCCAGAAACUGCAGCCACCCUCCUCAGUGACUUCUCCUCCUCUUCUGAAGGUUUAGGGUCAUGGAAUCUUCUAGAUGGGAGGGCCUUUAAAGGCUACUGAGUCCCAGUCUAACCCCAUUACACCAGUGAGGAGACAGGAAGAGGACCCGAAGAGGCUCUGUUUCUGACAUCUUCUCUGGAGGGCAGAGCACCCACCCUCAGCCUGGGACCAGAGCCUUCAAUGAGUUCAGACUUUCAAGGACCUGAUGGCCUCACCCCUCUUGGAAGAUGCUAGCAGCCUGGGCAGGGUGUGGAGAGAGCCAGGGUAGGAGCCUGGAGCCAGGGUUCUAGAACACCCACCCCGCCUUGACUCACCUGCCCAGUUGAGGGGCUUGGCCUUGGGAAUUCCUAAAGGGAGCCUGGCAUCUCCUGGGUCACAAGUCGGUUCUCAUGCUUGCCCCUACAAAGCAGAAGAGGUGACUGAGGCCAGGGAGGGGUGAUGGCAGAAUGAGGGGUGUGGCAGGGCAGGGUGAGGGCCUGCUGAACAGGGACCCUUCUGCCCCAGGGUUCGACUGUGCCAUGGCUUUAAGCCUGCCAGGGUCCCCCAUGCUGGCCCCUCUCAUGNNNNNNNNNNNNNNNNNNNNNNNNNNNNNNNNNNNNNNNNNNNNNNNNNNNNNNNNNNNNNNNNNNNNNNNNNNNNNNNNNNNNNNNNNNNAGGAUGCCGGCAGGACAGGCUCCCCCGGUGCCUGCCCAAAGGGCCGGCAUCACUGCCCCACCCCACACAUUCCUCACUCAGGAGCUGCUGGACAAUCUCUGCCAGCAUCUCACCCAGCCCUACCCAGCGCCCAGUGGGGCUGCCAGCGUUCCCUGGGCUUGAACGAUUGCAAAGAGGAAUCAGAAACCCUUGUGCCUUACUGGUGGGAAUGUAAAAUGGUGCAGCUGGCAUGGAAAACAGCACAACAGCUCCUCAAAAAAUUACACAGAGAAUUACCCUAUGACCCAGCAAUUUUUCCUCUGGGUACGUACCCCAAAGCGCGGAAAGCUGGGACUUGAACAGAUCGUUGUGCGUCCAUGUUCACAGCCUCUUUAAUCACAAUAGCCAAAUGUAGAAGCAAUUCAGGCGUCCAUUGAGGAAUAAAUGGAUAAGCAAAAACAUGGUGAAAGUAUGCCAUGGAAUAUUAUUCAGCCUUGAAAAAGAAGGAAAUUCUUAGAGAAUUCCUUGGCGGUCCAGUGGUUAGGACUCCACUUUCACUGCUGAGGGCCCGAGUUCCAUCUCUGGUUGGGGAACUAAGAUUCCAAAGCCAAAAAAUGGAAAAAAGCUCUGGCAGAUUCUACAAUAUGAGUGAAACUUGAAGGCAUUUUAAGUGAAAUGUUGCUGUUGUUCAGUCGCUCAGGCGUGUCGGACUCUUUGCGACCCCAUGGACGGCAGCACGCCAGGCUUCCCUGUCCUUCACCAUUUCCCGGAGUUUGCCCAAACUCAUGUGCAUUGAGUCAUUUAAGUGAAAUGAACCAGUCCCAAAAGGACAAAGAGCAUAUGAUUGUAGUUCUGUGAGGAGCCAAAUUCAUAGACACAGGAUGGCAGUUGCCAGGAAAUGGGCAGUUACUGUUUAGUGGGUAGUUUCAGUUUGGGAAGAAGGAAAACGUCCUGGAGAUGGAUGGUGGUGAUGGUUGUACAACAAUGCCGCCGGAUUAUGCAACUUAAAAUAGUGAGUAUGGACUUCUCUGGUGCGCCAGUGGUUAAGAAUCUGCUGCCAGUGCAGCGGACACGGGUCCUAUGUCUGGUCCGGGAAGGCUUCACGUGCGGCAGAGCAGCUCAGCGCAUGCACAGCAGCCGCUGAGAUCCAGAGCCCAUGCGCCGCAGCAGGAGAAGGCACGGCAACCGCGAGCCAGAGCGCAGCAGCUAGAGAGCAGCCCCCCUGCGUAACCAGAGAGAGUCCGCUCAGCAGAAAAGACCCCGCACAGCCAAAAUAAAUAAUUUUUGAAGAUGGCUAAAAUGGUAAGUUUUGUUAUGUAUCAGUUCCAUUCACUCAGUCGUGUCCAGCUCUUUGCGACCCCAUGGACUGCAGCACGUCAGGCCUCCCUGUCC
rnacentral:lncRNA from 1 species